GACGAACGCUGGCGGCGUGCCUAAUACAUGCAAGUCGAGCGAAUCUUGAGGUGCUUGCACCUCUUGGUUAGCGGCGGACGGGUGAGUAACACGUGGGCAACCUGCCUGUAAGACUGGGAUAACUUCGGGAAACCGGAGCUAAUACCGGAUAAUCCUUUUCCUUUCAUGAGGAAAAGCUGAAAGUCGGUUUUUCGCUGACCCUUACAGAUGGGCCCGCGGCGCAUUAGCUAGUUGGUGAGGUAACGGCUAACCAAGGCGACGAUGCGUAGCCGACCUGGGAGGGUGAUCGGCCACACUGGGAAUGAGACACGGCCCAGACUCCUACGGGAGGCAGCAGUAGGGAAUCUUCCGCAAUGGACGAAAGUCUGACGGAGCAACGCCGCGUGAGCGAUGAAGGCCUUCGGGUCGUAAAGCUCUGUUGUUAGGGAAGAACAAGUAUCGGAGUAACUGCCGGUACCUUGACGGUACCUAACCAGAAAGCCACGGCUAACUACGUGCCAGCCGCCGCAGUAA
rnacentral:rRNA from 1 species